UUUUUUUUUUUUUCUUUUUUUUUUUCUUCUGCUUUUGGGUGGUUUUGGUAUUUUUCCCUCUCUUUCCCCUACUUCUCUGGUGCUCUUCUGUCGGGAUACUUCAAUCUCGCUGGGGCAAACGCCGCGUUUGAAAAGCCGACAGAAAUGUUGCAACGUCCCUUGUGGCAACGCAUUCUAUUUAUUUAUUUUUAUUUUUUGCCUUUUGCAAGGGCAAAGAGGAAGGGUAGGAAAAAACCCACCGUGAUCAAUACCAGCUUAAAUACCCAUCUGCGAGCCCCUGGGCUGCGGGAGGCAGGAGAGGGGAGAGCGCCCGCCCGCCCGCCGCCGCUGCCCGCUCGGCUGUAGCUCAGCCCGAGCCCUUCCCGUACGGAUUCCGGAGGACCUGCGGCUCUGGGCGGGGAGGCGGCGGGGGCCCACGAGUUCCUUUCCCGUGCCCCCGCUACUCAGAGCAGGAGCAUUUCAACUGCUUUUCUUAAAGCUGAAUUCUUUAUAAAGGAGAAGUGACUAGAAACCCUGAGCUGGGUCCCAGGUCUUGCCUUAACUUUGUAAGGCACACUGACACACUGAGGCUGCUCCACUUAAGGUAUGGUAUGAACCAGGAGCUGAUCCCGUGGCUGUGGAAUGAGUGUUCACAUGGAGUCAUCCUGCUGUAGCUAUUGCAGCUGCUGUGUAAGCAAGUCCUAACGGACAGUCCUUGUUCCAGUGACUGUGUGACAGAUAAGACAGACAAUGGGCACAAGGAAGGCACCGCUAUCAAUGAAGGACGGAUACUGUUCAACCUGAAGGGAACAAAGAAACCUGGGCUGCUCAAGACCCCACAGAACUGUCCAGGAGUGUCCUUUGUGCCAGCUGAUUCCAGGAAUGUGACACUUUUCGAACUGUUUGUGUCAGGACUUCCUGCUUUGACACCUUUCAUUUCUGAGACUGCCUCAUCAGUCAAACCCCAGAUCUGCUGCUCCUCUCCACAAGGACUUCUGUAUGCAGCAACUCUCUGUCCUCUUUGGAUACUGAAAUGAGAUGAAAGGGCUUGAAUGUUUCUUAGCAAGAUGGAUGGAUGGAAUUAGCUUAAUCUGUUCUGAUUUUGACACCUACAAGUCAACUGACCCAAUCACCUCUUCUUCUAACAGGCUGCAAAGCAACACUCUACUAAUGUGGAAUAUUCUUUGUGAUGGAAACAGAAGCAUCAGGAAUGGGGGUUUGUAGCUUUUUUGGAAGAGUUUCUGUUACAAUUUUUAUCUUUAAUAUCAACACUUUAAAUAAGGAUAUUUAUAUGUUAAAAUAAAAACAUUUUUUGCCCUGAAAUACUGGAAUACGCCUCCCCAGCCUCUUCCUACCUCAGCUCUGCCACUGUGAAGAGAACCCAUCCAUGGAUUUUAAAGUCAGGACAAGUCAGAACUUCUAACAGAGGAUGAGCACAGAACAACUGCAGUUCAUCCUGCAGCCCAGACCCCAAUGAAUGGAUCUUUUUCUUAUGUGCUGUGGGAACUGCCUAUAGAAAUAUCUAAGAAACUGAUCCAGGGUUUUAUAACCUUGUGUCUUGUCCCUUGUGGCAAGCUGCAAGUUGCCUUCUUAUCCUGGCCUCCAUGGACAAAGCCCUCCAUGUGUGUGAAAUAGGAGAGCACCGUGGUUUGGUGGUGGUUUUGUCAGAUCUGUUCCCAAACAGCUCUCCCAGCUGCCACACUGCCUGUCAGAGGAGGGUUGGUGCAGCAGAGGUCUGUAGGGUCACUUGGGUUCACAUGCAGGAUCCCUUGUGCACAUCCUGCAGUGGGAUCCAGCCCUGCUGAUGCCUCUUUAACACUUGAGGACAUUGUCAGCAAACCAAAGUGCAUUUCUUAGUGCCCACACCAAGCCACUUCAAGAACAAAUCUGACUAGACUGAAUUAUUUUUAUUUUUAAAGUUCAGUGCCACUUAACACCGCCAAUUUAGCUUAAAAAAAAAAAAAAAAAGCAGAAAUACCUAAAAUAAAAGUGUUUUGAAAAGUAUUUGCAGGCAAUUAUGGGUUUUUUUCAGACUCAGUCUCAGGUGAUAUCCUCACCUUCUACUGCUGCUAAGCACUGCCCCAGACUUCCUUCAGGUUGCCAUCCCCAGUCUGUGCUAAGCAUCAUGAACAUAAAGAGAGAUCCUGCUGAAAUAAAACACAUUGGUCCUCACAUGCACACAAUUUUUUCUGUGAAAAACAGGUAACAGCAAAUGAACUAAGCCUCAGCCACUGAUGCUGCUUUGCCCAUCCUUGGAAGGUGCAGGGAGUCUGGUUUGGUGACAGUGUUACCACUGCCCACAGAGAACUGACCCGAGACAGCACAGAGCAAAUGGUGUAGGGUGAGAUUCCAAAAGGGAAAAGGGGGAAAAAAAAAAAAA
rnacentral:lncRNA from 1 species